rnacentral:misc_RNA from 1 species
CGGAAGUGUUGAAAGACGAAGGAAAAGUGGAGGAGAGAAUGGUGACGGAAUUGUACAGAGUUUUGAAGCUUAUGGAAAUGGAUUUAGCUAUGGUGAGUGCUGCUGUUAAAGAAGAAACAUUGAAUAAAAGACUUGAACAAGCUAAAGCACGUUGUAGGCAAGCCAUUCUUGUUGCUAAUUCUUUUUGACAAAUUUGUAGCAUCUUUGUUUCACUUGUACUGUAUUUAAGUCUGUAUUUCAUUAUCGACGAGCACGACCCAGAAAGCAAAAAUCCUUGCUUUUGCUGGCUAGGGUUAAAUAUUGACACCUCCAAUAUGAAAGUCCCGAGUCCAAACCACGAGGUCACCUCGAAAGGAUUGUAGAUUUCAUUUUUG